AUGAAGGCAUACACGGCGGCUGAGGACAAGCUCCUUUGUGAGUGUUGGAGGGACAUUGGGCAAGACCCCAAGGUCGGUGCCGAACAAAAGGCAUCAACCUUUUGGAUUCAUAUCCAUCACAAGUACCAUGAGCGCAAGAAGUUUGAGCCAUACCAAAUGCAAAGCACGCCCGGGUGGGUGUCCAUUUUGAAGCUAUGGAGGGUGAUCCAACAAGAGUGCAACAAGUUUUGUGCCACCCUUGAGAGCAUCAAGGCACACCCCGUGAGCGGCAUCGGCAUGCAAGACAUGGUAUGCAUGCGGCCCUCUUCAUUUUCACCCCGUUUAUGCUUGCAUGUCCAUUUGCAUACCCAUUUGCUCAUAUGCUUGCAUGCUAUCCAUUUGUAG
rnacentral:rRNA from 1 species